rnacentral:lncRNA from 1 species
UGAACCCUCAACAAUUCACAAAUUGGUUGUGAAUUUAAGUGAUCCAAAGUUACCUUUCACACCUUCAAGAAUAAUUUAUCAAAUUAGUCAAUUAACCCAUCCGUAACGUUUGAACACCUUGAAAACAUCACAACCCAUACUUAAAUUGUUUUGUAAACGACUACAAUUUCAUAACUUCAAUCUUACCAACAAAACUUCGACAGAGACAGAGACGAUUAGGAUGGGGCACGGCGACGCAGAUCUGGGUAACGGCGCAGAGACAGAGGUCGCGCGGCGGUGCUGGGCAGAGGUCACGCGGCGGCUGACGGUUGCAGCGGCAGUUUUUGGAUCGAAGAGAAAAAAAGGGUGGCGGUUGGGUUCGACUUCGGUGAACGGAGACAGAAACAGACGAAACCGGUGGACGGCUCGAUCUAGCGGUGCAGAUCUGGACAGAGGGUCACACGGCGGUGGGCGGAAGGUCACGCGGCGGCCUUGCUUCGCAACAGAGACGGCGGCCGACGGUUGCAGCGGCGGUUUGGCUUGGCCUGACCGUCGACGUCGAACGAAAGAGGAAGAAAGAAAAGAAGGGGUGGUUGGACUGCGGCUGCGCACGAACGGAAAGAGAAUAGAUGGGGCGGCGGUUGCUGCGAACGGGAAGGAGAACGCACGGGGAGGAAGGAGAAGAGAGAAAAGAAAAGAAAAAGAAAAG